AGAGACAAAAGAGAGACGAGAGAAAGAAAAAAAUGGAAAUAUUUUUGAUUUUUAUUCGUUUUUUGCUUUC
rnacentral:ribozyme from 12 species